rnacentral:rRNA from 1 species
CCCUUAGAUGUUCUGGGCCGCACGCGCGCUACACUGACGAUGGCAACGAGUUUUUCCUUCGCCGAAAGGUGUGGGUAAUCUUUUGAAACAUCGUCGUGCUGGGGAUAGAUCAUUGCAAUUUUUGAUCUUGAACGAGGAAUUCCUAGUAAGCGCGAGUCAUCAGCUCGCGUUGAUUACGUCCCUGCCCUUUGUACACACCGCCCGUCCCUACUACCGAUUGAAUGGUUUAGUGAGGACUCCUGAUUGGCGCCGCCGCCCCGGCAACGGAGCAGCGGACUGCCGAAAAGUUGUUCAAACUUGAUCAUUUAGAGGAAGUAAAAGUCGUAACA